UUUCAACACUAAAACGUAAUUAUAUCAAUUUAUCAUAGUUUAUUUGUUGUACUUUCUAAAACAUUUGGCUUGCAAAAUGAUAACGUGUGAUAUUAUCAUAUUUUCAAAAUACCGCUACGGUUACUAGAUGCAUCCAAAAGUCGUUAUAAUGGGCGGGACUAAAUUAACAUAAAUAAACUUCCUGUAGUCCCUCGAACGUGAUGAAAAAUGUUUACAGUAGAAUACAUAGUUUGCAUCUGUCGUUUCAUGGACAUUUACACCAAAAGAUGUAAAAGAUAUUUUGUGUUCUAAUAGUACUUCUCUCUGAAGACAAUAGUUGAUUAUGGCUGUGGAUAAUAAUCAGGAUACCAAAGUUAAAGAAAGGAGAUAUCUUUCUUUGUGGUGAAAGUGCAAGAAAUAACACCAUAUUCUGACUUACAAAAUGAUCACUCAUACUGCAUGCAAUACAGGGAAAGGCAUCAA